CAGGACGAACGCUGGCGGCGUGCCUAAUACAUGCAAGUCGAACGGUCUUUCUAUGGAAGCUUGCUCCACUGAAAAGAUAGUGGCGAACGGGUGAGUAACACGUGGGUAACCUGCCCAUAAGAGGGGGGAGUAACAUCCGGAAACGGGUGCUAAUACCGCAUAGUUUUCUUGAUCGCAUGAUCGGGAAAGGAAAGACGGCCUUUGUGCUGUCGCUUAUGGAUGGACCCGCGGCGUAUUAGUUAGUUGGUGAGGUAACGGCUCACCAAGACGAUGAUACGUAGCCGACCUGAGAGGGUGAUCGGCCACAUUGGGACUGAGACACGGCCCAAACUCCUACGGGAGGCAGCAGUAGGGAAUCUUCCGCAAUGGACGAAAGUCUGACGGAGCAACGCCGCGUGAGUGAAAGAAGGUUUUCGGAUCGUAAAACUCUGUUGUCAGAGAAGAACAAGUUGGAGAGUAACUGCUCCAGCCUUGACGGUAUCUGACCAGAAAGCCACGGCUAACUACGUGCCAGCCGCCGC
rnacentral:rRNA from 1 species